rnacentral:rRNA from 1 species
GGCGGACGGGUGAGUAACGCGUGAGUAACCUGCCUCUAAGAGGGGAAUAACAUUCUGAAAAGAAUGCUAAUACCGCAUAACAUAUAUUUAUCGCAUGGUAGAUAUAUCAAAGAUUUAUCGCUUAGAGAUGGACUCGCGUCCGAUUAGUUAGUUGGUGAGGUAACGGCUCACCAAGACCGCGAUCGGUAGCCGGACUGAGAGGUUGAACGGCCACAUUGGGACUGAGACACGGCCCAGACUCCUACGGGAGGCAGCAGUGGGGGAUAUUGCGCAAUGGGGGAAACCCUGACGCAGCAACGCCGCGUGAAGGAUGAAGGUCUUCGGAUUGUAA